AACGAACGCUGGCGGCGCGCCUAAUAUAUGCAAGUCGAGCGAAUGGAUUAAGAGCUUGCUCUUAUGAAGUUAGCGGCGGACGGGUGAGUAACACGUGGGUAACCUGCCCAUAAGACUGGGAUAACUCCGGGAAACCGGGGCUAAUACCGGAUAACAUUUUGAACCGCAUGGUUCGAAAUUGAAAGGCGGCUUCGGCUGUCACUUAUGGAUGGACCCGCGUCGCAUUAGCUAGUUGGUGAGGUAACGGCUCACCAAGGCAACGAUGCGUAGCCGACCUGAGAGGGUGAUCGGCCACACUGGGACUGAGACACGGCCCAGACUCCUACGGGAGGCAGCAGUAGGGAAUCUUCCGCAAUGGACGAAAGUCUGACGGAGCAACGCCGCGUGAGUGAUGAAGGCUUCCGGGUCGUAAAACUCUGUUGUUAGGGAAGAACAAGUGCUAGUUGAAUAAGCUGGCACCUUGACGGUACCUAACCAGAAAGCCACGGCUAACUACGUGCCAGCCGCCGCCGUAA
rnacentral:rRNA from 1 species